GAUGAAGAACGUAGCGAAAUGCGAUAAGUAAUGUGAAUUGCAGAAUUCAGUGAAUCAUCGAAUCUUUGAGCGCACAUUGCGCCCGCCAGUAUUCUGGCGGGCAUGCCUGUCUGAGCGUCAUUUCAACCCUCAUGCCCCUAGGGCGUGGUGUUGGGGAUCGGCCAAAGCCCGCGAGGGACGGCCGGCCCCUAAAUCUAGUGGCGGACCCGUCGUGGCCUCCUCUGCGAAGUAGUGAUAUUCCGCAUCGGAGAGCGACGAGCCCCUGCCGUUAAACCCCCAACUUUCCAAGGUUGACCUCAGAUCAGGUAGGAAUACCCGCUGAACUUAAGCAUAUCAAUAAGCGGAGGA
rnacentral:misc_RNA from 1 species